CUUACAAAUUGAUUGUUACCGAAUUUUAUUUGCUGAGUUUCAUGAAGAAAUUGCUCAUGAAAUCUAAUGGUGGCGGAGAAGAAAGUAAUGAUGAUACUAGUGGAUAGCUUUGUAAGGGUUUGGUUCUUCAGAGAAAUCAGAUCAAUGGAAUACCAAAGGGUAUUAUGAUGAUGCUUGCACCGUUCUCUCUCCUAUCGUGCCUCUACGAAUGCCAACUUAGAGGCAUGAUUCGCGAGCACUUGGAGAGAAGAAAUCGGAGAAUCGUGAUAUGCCUUGUUAAAAAAUUUAGUCCAUGUUAGGAAUUAUUGAAGAGCUGGAACUAUUUGAAGUAAUGAUUGCAUAUACUGAGUGGGUGGAGCAGAACCUUAUCAAUAUGGGUUCUAAAGAUGUGCUUAAUGUAGUUAGGCUGUGUUUUUCAAGGAUCUGGCUUAUGUAGAUCUGGUUUAUGCAUGUGUGUAUUUCAUUUUUUUAAUUAAAUGUAUAAGCAUCCCUUUGGCGAUGCUUUGUGAUUCA